rnacentral:rRNA from 1 species
AUUGAACGCUGGCGGCAUGCCUUACACAUGCAAGUCGAACGGCAGCACGGGAGCUUGCUCCUGGUGGCGAGUGGCGAACGGGUGAGUAAUGCAUCGGAACGUACCCGGAAGUGGGGGAUAACGUAGCGAAAGUUACGCUAAUACCGCAUAUUCUGUGAGCAGGAAAGAGGGGGAUCGCAAGACCUCUCGCUUUCGGAGCGGCCGAUGUCGGAUUAGCUAGUUGGUGGGGUAAAGGCCUACCAAGGCGACGAUCCGUAGCGGGUCUGAGAGGAUGAUCCGCCAGACUGGAACUGAGACACGGUCCAGACUCCUACGGGAGGCAGCAGUGGGGAAUUUUGGACAAUGGGCGAAAGCCUGAUCCAGCCAUGCCGCGUGAGUGAAGAAGGCCUUCGGGUUGUAAAGCUCUUUCGGCUGAAAAGAAAUCGCACAGGCUAAUACCUUGUGUGGAUGACGGUAUCAGCAUAAGAAGCACCGGCUAACUACGUGCCAGCAGCCGCAGUAAGAC